rnacentral:rRNA from 1 species
GAUGAACGCUGGCGGCGUGCCUAAUACAUGCAAGUCGAGCGAACAGACGAGGAGCUUGCUCCUCUGACGUUAGCGGCGGACGGGUGAGUAACCCGUGGAUAACCUACCUAUAAGACUGGGAUAACUUCGGGAAACCGGAGCCAAUACCGGAUAAUAUAUUGAACCGCAUGGUUCAAUAGUGAAAGACGGUUUUGCUGUCACUUAUAGAUGGAUCCGCGCCGCAUUAGCUAGUUGGUAGGGUAACGGCUUACCAAGGCGACGAUGCGUAGCCGACCUGAGAGGGUGAUCGGCCACACUGGAACUGAGACACGGUCCAGACUCCUACGGGAGGCAGCAGUAGGGAAUCUUCCGCAAUGGGCGAAAGCCUGACGGAGCAACGCCGCGUGAGUGAUGAAGGUCUUCGGAUCGUAAAACUCUGUUAUUUGGGAAGAACAAAUGUGUAAGUAACUAUGCACGUCUUGACGGUACCUAAUCAAAAAGCCACGGCUAACUACGUG